GUUGCAUUUGUGGAUGCUUAAACUCCACUGAUUUUUUGACAUAAUCAUUUUGUUUCUGCUGGUGCCUUUUUUCCUGGAAGCGGUAACCAUCAUUUUAAAAAAUUUUUUGAAUGCAAGGAGUGUCUGGUGUCUGUAGUUGUGUAGAUGGAUUUAUGUUCUUAUUUGAGUUGGUGGAAUAUACUUAGAUAUUGGAAUUAUGUACGUUAGGAUAAUCUACAUUAUUUAUU
rnacentral:misc_RNA from 1 species